GACGAACGCUGGCGGCGUGCUUAACACAUGCAAGUCGAACGGAAAGGCCCUGCUUUUGUGGGGUGCUCGAGUGGCGAACGGGUGAGUAACACGUGAGUAACCUGCCCUUGACUUUGGGAUAACUUCAGGAAACUGGGGCUAAUACCGGAUAGGAGCUCCUGCUGCAUGGUGGGGGUUGGAAAGUUUCGGCGGUUGGGGAUGGACUCGCGGCUUAUCAGCUUGUUGGUGGGGUAGUGGCUUACCAAGGCUUUGACGGGUAGCCGGCCUGAGAGGGUGACCGGCCACAUUGGGACUGAGAUACGGCCCAGACUCCUACGGGAGGCAGCAGUGGGGAAUAUUGCACAAUGGGCGGAAGCCUAGUGCAGCAACGCCGCGUGCGGGAUGACGGCAUUCGGGUUGUAAACCGCUUUCGCCUGUGACGAAGCGUGAGUGACGGUAAUGGGUAAAGAAGCACCGGCUAACUACGUG
rnacentral:rRNA from 1 species